ensembl:lncRNA
UUUUCCACCUUCAUCACAACUGCAAAUGUUUUUAUAACUCACCUGUUUUCUUUUUUUCUUUUUCUUUUUUCCGCCUGUCCCGUUUGGCUCUUUUGCCAUCAGAAUUGUUGUCUAAAGGCAAAGAAAGAUGCCCAACGGAUUUACUUUACCAAAUUGACCAUCCCAGCCUUGCCGUAAUGGUCCAUUUGAUUCACCUUUUAUUGUUUAUUUUAUUUUCACUUGCUGAAUACGGGACAGACUUGACUGGGGGAAAGAAGGGGAGAAAGAAAGAGGGAAAGAGAAACAGCUGAGAAGAGGGACGGGGGAGAAGGGCAAAAAACAAAAACCAACAGAAUGAGCAGAAAAAAAAAUGCAUAUAUCGAUCACCUGGAUCACCUGCUGAGAAAGAAAAAAGAAAACAAGCAGAAGAGAACAAGAGUAAUAGAAUAAACAACAUCACAAUGAUAUAUGGGAAUAUGACAGUAAAUACUAAAUAUUAAACAUUAUUGUGCAGCACAUAAGAUCAACAGAACACAGUGUGCUUUGAGGUAGGAGCCAAAAAGGGUGUAGUUUGUGGGUGUGAUCACCCGUGUGUACACCUGUGAGCAUGGACGCGCUUGUUUUUUUUUGUUUUUUUUUAAAAGGUUCCUUCAUGUAAUAAUCUGCUAGAGGGUGUGGGGGGGCCACAGCCCCGUCCUCCAGGGCAUGAAGCAGGUAUGGAGGAGAUCAAAACUCCAGACAUCCAGAGGCCCCCAGAACACAAGAGACCAAGGAAGACCAACAGAGGGGCAGCCGCGCCACUGUCCCAGAAAGAGCUGAGGAGAGUCCCAGAUGAGGGCUCACUCAGCAGCCGCGGAGCAGAAGCCAGGGGGGGUUGCAGUGACGCGCCCGUGAGCUCCGCCGGCAGCCAGCCGUGCCUGAGUGACCGAGCCCCAGGCCGAGAGGCCGGGGGCACCCCACCUCCGAAGUGGCCCGAGCGAGCCCCAGGCUCCAGGCCCCGAUAAGCGGCCACCAAGGAGAUAAUAAUGAAAACUCACCUGUUUUCAUUAUUAGGGGCGUGGCCUCUUUGACAUGUGGAUGGCGGCACAGGAGUACAGACAUCUUUUAUAUUCAGUCUGAUAAUCUAAUCAGAAGUGAUAAUAGCAAAUUUUCAGUGAUUAAUGAUCUCUCCAAGUGCAGCUCAGCCAGUACAGCAGACUAAUCUUACUGUCAGCAGUUUGACUUUUUUGUUUCUUUUUAAUAAUCGUUUCUACUUUUGGUCUUUCAGAUGGAUCCUUGACUCAUCG